AGUGAACGCUGGCGGCGUGCUUAACACAUGCAAGUCGAACGAGAACGGAAUAUAGCUUGCUAUAUUUGUCAGCUGAGUGGCGCACGGGUGAGUAAUGUAUAGAUAACCUGCCCUUAAGAAAGGAAUAACAGUUGGAAACGACUGCUAAUGCCCUAUAUGCCUUUAAUACAUAGUAUGCAAGGGAAACGCUUUAGUGCUUAAGGAUGGGUCUGUAUGGUAUCAGCUUGUUGGUGAGGUAAUGGCUCACCAAGGCUAUGACGCCUAACUGGUUUGAGAGGAUGAUCAGUCACACUGGAACUGAGACACGGUCCGGACUCCUACGGGAGGCAGCAGUGGGGAAUAUUGCACAAUGGACGAAAGUCUGAUGCAGCAACGCCGCGUGGAGGAUGACACAUUUCGGUGCGUAAACUCCUUUUAUAUAGGAAGAUAAUGACGGUACUAUAUGAACAAGCACCGGCUAACUCCGUGCCAGCAGCCGCCGUAA
rnacentral:rRNA from 1 species